UCCACCCCUGUGAUUAUACCUUUAAUUGUUGCUUCGGCGGGACUUCGCGCCCGCCGGGGACCCAAACCUUCUGAAUUUUUUAAUAAGUAUCUUCUGAGUGGUUAAAAAAAAAAUGAAUCAAAACUUUCAACAACGGAUCUCUUGGUUCUGGCAUCGAUGAAAAACGCAGCGAAAUGCGAUAAGUAAUGUGAAUUGCAAAAUUCAGUGAAUCAUCGAAUCUUUGAACGCACAUUGCGCCCGUCAGUAUUCUGGCGGGCAUGCCUGUUCGAGCGUCAUUACGCCCCUCAAGUCCCCUGUGGACUUGGUGUUGGGGAUCGGCGAGGCUGGUUUUCCAGCACAGCCGUCCCUUAAAUUAAUUGGCGGUCUCGCCGUGGCCCUCCUCUGCGCAGUAGUAAAGCACUCGCAACAGGAGCCCGGCGCGGUCCACUGCCGUAAAACCCCCCAACUUCUCGGAGU
rnacentral:rRNA from 1 species